rnacentral:rRNA from 1 species
UACGGAGGGUGCAAGCGUUGGUCGGAAUUACUGGGCGUAAAGCGCGCGUAGGCGGACCUGCAAGUCGGGGGUGAAAGCCCGAGGCUCAACCUCGGAACUGCCUUCGAUACUGCGGGUCUCGAGUCCGGGAGAGGUGAGUGGAAUUCCUAGUGUAGAGGUGAAAUUCGUAGAUAUUAGGAAGAACACCAGUGGCGAAGGCGGCUCACUGGCCCGGUACUGACGCUGAGGUGCGAAAGCGUGGGGAGCAAACAGG